AAGAUAAUAAUUUAUUUAUUAAAAUAUUUUAUUUGCAAUAAAAAAAAAUUUUAAAAAAUUUAUCUUA
rnacentral:tRNA from 1 species